CAGUGGGAGCCAGUCAAGCAGAUUCGCAUCCGGGCUGUAGUCUCUGAGGAGCAGAAAGGAACCCGUGAUUAUGUAGUUACAGUAAGGUAGUGAGCACUAAACACAUGGCAAAUAUGAAGCACAUUGAAAUGGAGACGUGUCUUCGAGAUAAAGAGGAGAUCAGGAGCCAGUUUCCACUGGAAGAUGCUGGGUUGUGAUCCAGAGCAUGAAACACAAUAAAGAGAAGAGCCCAAGGAUUUGAGGGGAGGUUUGGAGCAUGGAGAUGGAGGAAUAUCACUCUGAGGAGAAGUGAAGAUGCUUCCUCCUCCCUGGUUCGCCUGAGUGUACAGUGUCCAGCGAAAGUGAUGAAGGGAUGGUGCUUGUCAAGUGUGCACAGGCAGUGGCAUCCUCACUUUUUGAACAUCUACAGAUGCUGUUGUAGAUGUUUUUUCAGCUCUCUCUUCACCAUAGACACAGCUUGGUAUACUUUGGCAGAACUUUUACCUCUUACUUCACCCUCAAAGAUGAAUAAGGCCAAGGUCAGCAAUGGUAUAAAUGGAAUGAA